AUUUUCGACGGGACUGGUGCUCACCUCAAUAUCGUCUUCCUCCAAGUCCGCAGCCUUCCUUCCAGUUUCAUCAUUGCGAAAUGCAUCAUCACCCACAAUGCCGCUAUAACUGUCUUCGACACCAUCAUUUCCACAAGAAACGUUCAAGUCUAUGCUCAUUUGCCCAAACUACAAGGAAAAACAAAUUUAUUAGGAUUGCGAAGUUAAGGAAACUAUAAGACAAAAAAAAACUACGAAAAAAAUAAAACAUGCUGGUGAUGAAAAAAACCCACAAUAAUACAAAUAUUUACGAUGCAUUUAAUUCAGUAGCAAAGAGAAUACUUAAAAAAUGUGACUAAGCCGGGUUAAAUGGUUUUCACAACGUAGGUUUUCCCAUUUAAAUGUUUUAAUGCAUUCCAAAAGAUAAAA
rnacentral:lncRNA from 1 species